rnacentral:misc_RNA from 1 species
GUCAGAUUGGGGUCAUAACACCAUAUGAGGGUCAACGGGCAUAUAUAGUGAAUUAUAUGGCAAGAAAUGGUUCCCUAAGACAACAACUCUACAAGGAAAUCGAGGUUGCAAGUGUAGAUUCAUUUCAAGGGAGGGAGAAGGAUUAUAUUAUUUUGUCAUGUGUCAGGAGUAAUGAACAUCAGGGCAUUGGGUUCCUUAAUGAUCCACGCAGGCUUAAUGUUGCUCUUACCCGUGCUCGUUAUGGUAUUGUUAUCCUGGGAAAUCCUAAAGUCUUGAGCAAACAGCCUCUGUGGAAUGGUUUGUUAACACACUACAAGGAGCACGAGUGCUUGGUUGAAGGUCCUCUCAAUAACUUAAAGCAGAGCAUGGUUCAAUUUCAGAAGCCCAAAAAGAUCUACAAUGAGCGCAGACUCUUCUUUGGUGGUGGACCUGGAGCAGUUCAAGGUGACAGUUUCGGAUCUGCUUCAGGCCCCAGUGCUGACAGGAGAAAUAGUCGUCCUAGGGGUUCUUAUAUGGCACCUGGUGUACCCAAUGGUACUCAGAAACCUGGUGUUCAUCCUGCUGGUUAUCCGAUGCCUCGGGUUCCCUUUCCCCCUUACCAUGGAGGCCCUCCACAACCAUAUGCAAUUCCUACUCGUGGUGCUGUCCAUGGACCUGUUGGAGCUGUUCCUCAUGUUCCACAACCAGGCAGCCGGGGUUUUGGGGCUGGACGUGGCAACGCCAAUGCCCCAAUUGGUAGUCAUCUCCCUCACCAUCAAGGGUCCCAGCAGCCGGUCGGAAGUAUUGGAUCUAACUUCAACUUUCCUGCAUUAGAUAAUCCAAACAGUCAGCCUUCCAUCGGAGGACCUUUAUCUCAACCUGGAUAUGCUUCUAAUAUGGCUAUCCAGGGACCAGGCCAGUCAUUCCGCGAUGGACUUUCUAUGGGUAGCAUGUCACAGGAUUUUGUGGGAGAUGAU